rnacentral:misc_RNA from 1 species
UGUCAUUUAGGUUGAUGACCCA